GACGAACGCUGGCGGCGUGCUUAACACAUGCAAGUCGAACGGUAAGGCCCUUCGGGGUACACGAGUGGCGAACGGGUGAGUAACACGUGGGUGAUCUGCCCUGCACUUCGGGAUAAGCCUGGGAAACUGGGUCUAAUACCGGAUAGGACCACUGCCUGCAUGGGUGGUGGUGGAAAGCUUUUGCGGUGUGGGAUGGGCCCGCGGCCUAUCAGCUUGUUGGUGGGGUGAUGGCCUACCAAGGCGACGACGGGUAGCCGGGCUGAGAGGGUGACCGGCCACAAUGGGGCGUAGAUACGGCGCAGACUCCUACGGGGGGCAGCAGUGGGGAAUAGUGCACAAUGGGCGCAAGCCUGAUGCAGCGACGCCGCGUGAGGGAUGACGGCCUUCGGGUUGUAAACCUCUUUCAGCACCGACGAAGCGCAAGUGACGGUAGGUGCAGAAGAAGGACCGGCCAACUACGUGCCAGCCGCCGCAGUAA
rnacentral:rRNA from 1 species